rnacentral:lncRNA from 1 species
UCUGAAUGAGGCUUGUAUAUAAAGAAAUAUAGGCCAUGCUUGUUUUAAAAGAGAUUCAAUUAUUUUAAGUCAAUUAAAGUUUCAUUUACUCAAUCAUAUGAAAAACAUAUACAAUGCAAAAAAAAAAAAAACCUCUCAUCACACUAAUUUAUCCAAAACAACUUAGCCAUAUCCAAUUUAUUCAUGUACAUGUUAACUAUGUCGUAUGACAACAUGUGUCUAACAACCAAAUGUCACAUUAUCUUCACAAAAUCAC